UAAUGCAUGAGGAGCUACUACAUGCAGUCGAACGCUUUGUGGUUCAACUGAUUUGAAGAGCUUGCUCAGAUAUGACGAUGGACAUUGCAAGAGUGGCGAACGGGUGAGUAACACGUGGGAACCUACCUCUUAGCAGGGAUAACAUUUGGAAACAGAUGCUAAUACCGUAUAACAAUGACAACCGCAUGGUUGUUAUUUCAAGAUGGUUCUGCUAUCACUAAGAGAUGGUCCCGCGGUGCAUUAGCUAGUUGGUAAGGUAAUGGCUUACCAAGGCGAUGAUGCAUAGCCGAGUUGAGAGACUGAUCGGCCACAAUGGGACUGAGACACGGCCCAUACUCCUACGGGAGGCAGCAGUAGGGAAUCUUCCACAAUGGGCGAAAGCCUGAUGGAGCAACGCCGCGUGUGUGAUGAAGGUUUCGGCUCGUAAAACACUGUUGUAAGAGAAGAAUGACAUUGAGAGUAACUGUUCAAUGUGUGACGGUAUCUUACCAGAAAGGAACGGGCUAACUACGUGCCAGCAGCCGCGGUAAUACGUAUGUGUCCAAGCUUUAUCCGGAUUUAUUGGGCGUAGAGCGAGCGCAGACGGUUAUUUAAGUCUGAUGUGAAAGCCCUCAGCUCAACUGAGGAAUUGCUUUGGAAACUGGAUGACUUGAGUGCAGGAGAGUACAGUGGAACUCCAUGUGUAGCGGUGAAAUGCGUAGAUAUAUGGGAGGAACACCAGUGGCGAAGGCGGGUUUCUGGACUGUAACUGACGAAUGAGUCUCGAAAGUAUGGGUAGCAAAACAGGGAGUAGAUACCCCUGCGUAGUCCACACCGUAAACGAUGGAGUGCUAGGGUGUCUUGGAGGUUAUUCCGCCCCUUAAAUGCCGCUACUAACGGCAUUCAGGCACUUCGGCGUGGGGGGAGUACUGACCGCUAGGAUGGAACUUGCAAAGGAACUUGGACGGAGACCUCGCAACAUGGUGGUGUGACAUUGGUAUUUAAGUUCGAGAGCACCUGGCAGAAACUUGACUAGGCCUUGGCCAUCCUUUGGACAGUUACGGGACAUGUGAGCGGUUCCCUUCGGGGACAUGUGUCACGGUGGUGCUCAUGACU
rnacentral:rRNA from 1 species